GAUGAACGCUGGCGGCGUGCCUAAUACAUGCAAGUCGAGCGAACAGACGAGGAGCUUGCUCCUCUGACGUUAGCGGCGGACGGGUGAGUAACACGUGGAUAACCUACCUAUAAGACUGGGAUAACUUCGGGAAACCGGAGCUAAUACCGGAUAAUAUAUUGAACCGCAUGGUUCAAUAGUGAAAGACGGUUUUGCUGUCACUUAUAGAUGGAUCCGCGCCGCAUUAGCUAGUUGGUAAGGUAACGGCUUACCAAGGCGACGAUGCGUAGCCGACCUGAGAGGGUGAAUGGGCACACUGGAACUGAGAAACGGGCCAAGAUCCCACGGGAGGCAGCAGUAGGGAAUCUUCCGCAAUGGGCGAAAGCCUGACGGAGCAACGCCGCGUGAGUGAUGAAGGUCUUCGGAUCGUAAAACUCUGUUAUUAGGGAAGAACAAAUGUGUAAGUAACUAUGCACGUCUUGACGGUACCUAAUCAGAAAGCCACGGCUAACUACGUG
rnacentral:rRNA from 1 species